UCCCUUAGUAACUGCGAGUGAAGAGGGAAAAGCUCAAAUUUAAAAUCUGGCAGUGUUUUGCUGUCCGAGUUGUAACCUAGAGAAGUGUAACCUGUGCUGGACCGUGUAUAAGUCUCCUGGAAUGGAGCAUCAUAGAGGGUGAGAAUCCCGUCUUUGACAUGGACUACCAGUGCAUUGUGGUUGCGCACUCAACGAGUCGAGUUGUUUGGGAAUGCAGCUCUAAAUGGGUGGUAAAUUCCAUCUAAAGCUAAAUAUUGGCGAGAGACCGAUAGCGAACAAGUACCGUGAGGGAAAGAUGAAAAGAACUUUGGAAAGAGAGUUAAACAGUAUGUGAAAUUGUUGAAAGGGAAACGUUUGAAGUCAGUCGCGUUGGUUGGGGAUCAGCCUGACAUUGUUGGGUGUACUUCCUGGUUGACGGGCCAACAUCAGUUUUGACUGCCAGAAAAAGGCCAAAGGAAUGUGGCACCUUUGGGUGUGUUAUAGCCAUUGGUCGUAUAUGGUGGUUGGGACUGAGGAAAGCAGCGUGCCGAAAGGCCGGGUUUCGACCACGUUCACGCUGAGGAUGUUGGCAUAAUGGCUUUAAGCGACCCGUCUUGAAACACGGACCAAGGAGUCUAACAUGCGUGCGAGUGUUUGGGUGGAAAACCCUUACGCGUAAUGAAAGUGAAAGUUGAGAU
rnacentral:rRNA from 1 species